UAUUAUUUUCAAUAUAAGUCUAUUGACCGUUACAAUUGUAAUAAAGUCCAGGUUAUAAGUAUAUUUAUUUGGUUUAAUGUAUUGAAUAUAGGAGUAUUUACGAUAUUUUUGAAAAGUACAAGUUGGGGUUUCGUGUUUUGCUAUCUAUGCAAUGGUCUUUGGCAAUUUUCUUUGUUAGUGUAUUAAGAGCAUAGUUGUAAUGUGAGUAGAAUUUUCCUUUAAUAUUUUACUUAAUAAUUUGGCAAUUAUUGUCGGGGUAAGGUUCAAUUAUGUAAGUUCAAUUGUAUUCAUAGAAAUGUGGGACAUUAGGAAUAUUUCAUUAGUAGCUACGUUAUACCAAGCGGAAGUUUUUAUAUUUAUCAGAUUUUUGUAACUAACGUUGCCAAUAUUGUCGUGUUUUAGUAGUUUGGGAUUAAUGAUUCCUAGUCGUGUAAGUUGUGAACCCAUUUCAAUGUCCUCAAUAUAUUCGGUAAAAUGUUCAAUGUGAAAUAUUAAUAGAUUAAUUUUUGUUCUUUUUUUUCAGAGCAUUGGACUGGGUGUUAAUUAUUUCUAUGCCGGUUUGCUGCAAGUAUUUGUUGUCAUUGAUCAAUUAGCUUCCUAGCUUUCAAGCGAACGGUCGUGUUUUUUUUUUGCGCUCCGAUUCCUAUUUUGUGUUUGUCAAACCAGCCAAGGUAUUUAAUAAUUUAAAUUUAAAUUUUUUAAUUUAAUAAUUUUCUUUCAUUAUUAUACAUACAUGUACAUAUGUACAUAUAUGGUCAACAUAAUUAUUAAAGGUGAUUCGCAGUGCUGUUUGGAGUUGUUUUUGUAUGUACAUAAACUGCACUGUGCACCUAUUCUCUCGCUCCCACUCUUUCGCUCUCCCACACAAAAUCUAAAAUUUCUGACUGCUCUCUUGCGGUUCUUUUAACAGCUCGCUUAAAUGUUUUGAUCUUGUGUGUUUUGCACAGUGGUCUGAUUUUAGACAAACAUGGAAACAAUAAAUGUUGUCUGCUUGUAUAAAAUUUUCUUCAUUUGUGUUUCUUUAUUUUCUCUAUUGUUCUUAGUAUUGAUAGUUCAUUUACGGUUUUGUGAAGGCGUUCUAUGUCUGCUAUUGCUGUUUUACUUGUGGUAAUAUCUAUUUGUAUGUCUUGGUUGUUAAGCCAAAUUUUUAAAUAAGUGCUUAAAAACCGCUUUAAUUUUCUGUGGUUAUCCAUGUCAUUGAAAAUUCUAGUAAGGGCUCGUUUUGCCUCUAACCAAUCUGUUAGUUUUAAUACUGUUUGUUUUAAUAAGUAAAGCAAAUUUAGAAUAUAUGUAUGUCUAUACAAGAUUAAUACUGUUCGUUGUCAAUUGCACAAAAGUCAAUGACGUCAAUUUCUCGUGGGUUAUUUGUUUCUGGAGUUAUUUCGAAAACUAGAUUUGUUGGUCUAUGUUCUGUCUUUGCAAGGUUACAGAUUUCGCAAUAAUUAAUAAUGUUUGAAUUAGUUUAUUGUAAUCGGGAAAAUAAAGAAUUUCUUUAAAUAAUCUUAUCAUUUUUUCAAUACCAUGGUUUAACAAUUAGAAUUUUUAGUCAUUAUGGUUUUUUUAAAUUCAGGAUAAUUUUUUAUGUUUUUUAACUUUAUGAUACUUUUUAGAAUUUUCACGUUACUAUGUGGGUUAAUGGUUUCUCUAAAAAGUCUUUAUCGUUUUCCAGGUAAAUAGCACUGUUAUUAUUUAAGAAGUGAUAUCCGAGGAUAUCUGUUGCCUUUGACAGGGUCAUGUCAGUGUAUUUAAUGGUCAGUUUUGUUUUUGAAAAGUAUUUCGUUGUCUCUACUUGCUCUACGGUAUCUUUAAUAAGUUCAAUUGGUCUUGCAAAAUAGUUUAUUGGUUUUUCUGUAAUUUCAAUGUAGGUUUCGUUGCUUUCUGUGUUUCGAUGAACUGUGUAUUGUUGCUGCUGUUGCAAUAUUCUCUUCUUUGACGCGAGAUAAAGCGUCUGCUACAUGAUAUAGUUUACCUUCUAAAUAUUUGAUUUUCAAAUUAUAUUCACUAAGUCUAAUUCGCCAACGUUGUUGUUUCAUGUUAGGUUCUUUAAUAUUAUUUAGCCAAACGAGGGGUUUGUGAUCGAUCAAAAUCUGAAAGGCGGCACCCUUUAGAUAUGUAGGGAAAUAUUUGGUUUCCCAAACGAUUGCCAGUAGUUUUUUUUUGAAGAACUUUUCUUUGGCGAAAUUGCUAGCGUCAGUAGUGACUCGAAAUGGUUGGUUUGAAAUUAGGGCAACUCAAAAUUGGGUCCUUCAUUAUGAGUGUUUUCAAUUUUUCAAAUGAUUUAUUGUAUCGUUCUUUUCUUGUGUUUAUUUUAGCUCCUUUUUUGUCAGCGGUUUUGCAAUCUUUGCAAAAUCUGGAAUGAACUUACGGUAAUAUCCGCAUAAGUAUAAAAAAUAUUUGAUUUCUGUUGAUGUCUUUGGGAGAGGAAAUUUUUCGAUUGCUUUAACUUUCUCUUUAUUAGGUCGUAUGCCUUCUGGACCUAUAAUAUGACCUAAGAAAUUUGUUUGCUUUUUUAAAAAUUCGAAUUCACACUAGCUGAGUAACGGGUAUCUGAAAGUCGAUGAACUCGACUAUAGCAUUCUCCGUUUUGUUUCAUUUUUAUUUUAUAUAUUUUGCAUGUUUAAUUUGUAAAAAUGAACAAAUAUGUGUUUUUCAGAUUUCAGAUUACCAUUUGGCUAUGAGGAUCAGACAGUUUUAGUUAACUACUCCUAAAAAAAUAUCAGAGGACAAUUAUCUGAGGAAUGAAUCGCUUUGAAGUAGUACACUUUGAAACUACAUUUAUUCAUUUUGUGUAGCUUGUCUGUGGGCUAAAAUAUAUUUCGGCUAAAAAGUAGGCAAUACUACUUUUAUCAGUUGACCCAAGACUUUGGUAUUUCACCAUUUGUUUUUUUUUCUUUUUUUAAAUAAUUUAUUAAACGAAAUUAUUUAACGGACUAGCGUACUAUUGCCCUUUUUAGACAACCUAAUCUAAUCGGUAUCAAUUUAAACGAUUCUUAAUAUCUAAGUUUUUUACAAAGAUUAUAUGAAUUUGAGUAUUAAAGAAAUUGAAUGUUUAGGCAAUAAUAUUUAGAAGAUUAUUAUUAAGUAGUAUUUAUGACAAGUCCCGGGGGGUAUUUAUAUGGUUUUUUAAUAGAUAGGGUCUUCGUAUUUUGUAUGAAUAGAAUAUUUAAUAGUACUUGUGGAAGUAAAAUUUUCACCAUCUUUGUACUGAAUAUCACUGUAUUCAAGGAAAACGUGGGAAAGUUGUUUCCCUUUUUGCUGUAUUUAGAAGUUCUAAUCUGAAUACGUUAAAUUCUCUGAACUCGCCGUCUAAGGCGUAGUUAGAGGAUGUUACUAGAAGGAUGUCUUUUAAGUAAGGGGUAAUAAGAGGGUUUUCCUCAGAUUUAGAAGUCUUGGGACACUCAUAGGUAGUCUUGAACUCUUCUGGGUUAGACGACCUGGGGCACUCAUUGGAGACCUUUGAAUCAUCUGGUUUUAAGUGGGGCUUCCGCUUAAUUUUCUGGAGGGUUUCCUCCUUUUUCUGUGUAUGUAGAGGGGUUUCCUCUGAAUUAGAUAAUCCGGGGCACUCAUUGGUGGCCUUGGACUCAUCUGUUUGGAUGGUCGUACCACCUUUUGAAUGUAUAGCUAUUUAUAGUAACAGUGUGUGUUGAAUAACUUUAGUCAUGCUGGAAGCUUGCCAGAGUUGGUAGGGUCCUAGAUAUCAUUGUGAUUUUUUAGACUCUCGAAUGCAUCUCUCUGCAAGUCACCGAACUUAAUAGGAGUCUUCUUAGACAUGUGCUUGCUGAUAGAGCCAUUUUCUUCUAUUAGAAAGCUUGUCAAACGAAACAACGGUAAUAACUGGCUAAACCCAAAAAUGAUCUUAGCUCAUACAGAUUUGUAGGCUCUGGGUAUUCCUUUUAUGGCCUUUACUUUUUCUGUGUCGGUUUUUGCACCUCCAUUGGUGACAAUAAAUCCGAGAUAUUCAACGCUUUGCUUAAAAAAGUGCAUCUUCUCGUUGAAUACCUUCAUGUUGGCAUCACACAGGCUUUUUAAAACGCAAUCUAUGUGCGUAACAUGGUCGUUUUCAUUUUCAGUAUAUAGGUAUAUCUGGUGGUAGCCGGACUUUAAAUCUAACGUUGUAACGUUCUUGGCUUUUCCUAAGUUUGCCAGUAUUAUGGGAAUAUUCGUCAUUGGGUACUUUUCAGCGAUGUUUUUUGCGUUAAGUUUCCUAAAGUCUAUAAUCAAACGAAUAUUUUUGUUCCCCUGCUCAUCAUGGUCUUUUUUGUCCACAACCCAUGUUGGAUCACUUUUAAACAAUUUUAAAUUUUAUUCGCCAGUAUUUAUCGAUAUUCCAGAAAAAUGAUGAAAUUUCGAGAUCGCAUUCACACUAGCUGAGUAACGGAUAUCUGAUAGUCGGGGAACUCGACUAUCGCAUUCUCUCUUGUUUUCCAUAGAUGUCCCUAUCUGCAAUUGGAUUCUCCUUUCUCAGGAUGCACUUAAGUUUUUUUUGUUCCAUUUUAAAAAAGGAUAGGUCUGCAGUUAACGACUGAGGAUUUCCUAGCCAUUUGAUGAAAUUAAUGUUCCUUUUUAAAAUAUCUGAAUUUAUUUUUAUUAAAUUGCAUUCCUUUGAGCAAUUACUCUAUAUUUGUGUACAUGAUAUAUAUAUAUAUCCUUUUCCCAUUUAAUUUUACCUACCUUUUAAUAAAUACUUUAAUAAGUCAUAAUAUGUGCGUAAGCAUACUAACCAGAUAAAAAACAAAAAAAAGUCCGCAGUAUACAUAACUGUUUAUCAAUUCAAGAAAGCAAAAAAGAUUAUUUCGAAUAAAUAUGGUUGGCAUUUUAUAUUCGAAAAACUUUAACGCAAGCCCCAAGUUUUAAUGGAGCUUUUCGACAAAUACAAGAAUUUGAGAUUUGCAAUUGCAAUCUAGGGAAAAAUGAUUAUUUCGAAAAAAUAUGGGUCUUUAUAUUCGAACAACUUUAACCCAAGCCCCAAAUUUUAAUGAAGCUUAUCGACAAAUACAAUAAUUUGAGAUUUGCGAUUGCAAUCUAGGGAAAAAAGAUUAUUUCGAAAAAAUAUGGUUGGCUCUUAAUAUUCGAAAAACUGUAACCCAAGCCCAAAGUUUUAAUGGAGCUUAUCGACAAAUACAAGAAUUUGAGAUUUGCGAUUGCAAUCUAGGGAAAAAAGAUUAUUUCGAAAAAAUAUGGUUGGCUCUUAAUAUUCGAAAAACUUUAACGCAAGCCCCAAGUUUUAAUGGAGCGUUUUGUUCCUUCGAAAACGCAGUCUAAAGUUCGCUUAGCGACGAAUACAAGAAUUUGAGAUUUGCGAUUGCAAUCUAGGGAAAAUGUUACCCGUUAAACUAACAAAUGAAAAAGAAAUUAUAAUACAGUGUUAACGCUAAGCUUGCGGUGCGUAUCCAUAUUUGCGAAGUAUGUUAUUAUUUGUGGCACAUUAGAGUAUUUAUUGAAACGUAAGGUAGCAAUGCUAACUAUUAGCUAUGCUUUAUUAAUUUUUAACUUAACUUUUUUUGUAACUUGUUAAAGGAAUACAAUUUCUUGUGGUAAAAAUUGGUAAUAAAUUGGCCCGAGUUCUCUCGGAUAGAACUCUUCCCUAUUUUUAGUUAAUUAAUCAUUUCCCUACAAGCUGUAUGACCAAACCAUUACAGGAAAAUCCCAUUUUCCUCUCAGCAGAAUCCAUUUGUUAAAUGAACAAUAGUUUGUACCUAGCCUACAGGUUCAACCUUAAAAUCAAAAUAAUAAAUAAACUAAAUUUAUUUGCUGUAUUGAUCAAAGUAUACUUUUUUUUUUGUAUUUUUGCAUUCAAACUAAAAAUCGGGAUUCGUGACAAUAAUAUUCAUUCGUUAAUAUUUCAAAGCUCUGUUUAAGCUUAUUGAAAGUCCUGCCCAGUCCAGUCAAGCGGGUAUGGCCAAAGAAAUGCUGUUGAUUUUAGUUUCCCGCGAAUAUAUAAAUAUGCACGCUCAGGAAGGGAUUUCAGAGGCUCAGUUUUUAAAGAGAAAUUAAUGAUAAACAAAAAAUUAACUUACUUUUGAAGUAUAUGCCUUUGGUACACGAGAAAAAUUUUUCAAGAGCAUGGCAAAAAGUUUGAUGGGAGUGGGAUGGAUAGACGACAUGUUUUUAACAAAAAAAUUGUAUCCAUUAUGUAUUUUAACAGAAAUGGGAAUUAUAAACGUAUGCUCAGUCCAGUGAAGUCUGAAUAGAGUUAGGCAAACGGGUAGAUUGCGAAAACUAAAUACGAGUUGUGAGAACGCGCGCGACUUUGGUCCUGUGUCCAGGAAAUAGAUCCAGUUUGGUCCAGAGGGCAAGCUAGAAGGUUUUUGGACCAUAUAAAGUAAAUAUAUUCUUGAUCAGGAUCAAUAGACGAGUCGAUCUAGCAAUGUCCGUCUGUCCGUAUGAACGUCGAGAUCUCAGGAACUAUAAAAGCUAGAAGGUUAAGAUUCACCAUACAGAUUAUAGAGACAAACCACAAACCGCACAGAACUGCCACGCCCACAAUUUCGAUAGAUGUGUUGAUAUUUUUUCACAUAUUUAUUAGUCUUGUAAAUAUCUAUCGAUUUCCCAUGCCCACUUUAUGGUCGAGUUGCGUAUAUGUUGUAAUAAGUAAUAAGUAAUAGCUCAGUGUAAUAGAUAUUGAAUAGCUCAGAGCGUCUGUUCCGUUUGAAUCGUUUUAUUUGAAUGAAUUCCUAUGUUGCUGUCUUUGGGUACAGCUACCCGUACAUGGUGUUCUUACAUAUUGUACAUAUUGUAUAUACAUAUACAUGUGUAUGCAGAAGGCAUACAUCUGUUAUGUAUGGCUUGACCACUUGAGCUGCUAAGUGCAUGCUCAGCAUUCUCACGCUCCGCGAUCGGCUUAUGUAUAAGCAUUAGAUCGUAUUUCAUUGGCUGGAGUGUUUAUGUAAGUGCAUGUGGUCUUUGAUGUGAAUUAUGUUUAUUUGUGUUUGCAACAAAGUGUCACAAUGUAUGUACGUUACUUAUAUAUAUGUAGAGUAGAGUUAUAGUGAGGGUAGAUACACUACACCUCCCUUUUUAGAGAAAUGACGUAAUAUAUGUAGUCAUUUAAUUAAUUAAAACAUUUUUUUUCUUAUAUUAUUUCUUAUUUAUCCUUUCUAUUAGAAAAAGUUUGGUCUCAGAAUAAUUUGUGUAAAAGAAUUUUUUUUUUUUAUAUUUUUUUUUUUUUGUUGUUUAUAAUUACGUUAUGCUUCUAUUUUUAACUUUCUUAGACAAAAACUUAUUAAAUUUUUUUUUUUUUUUUGGUUGAUCAGACCUUUUUUUUUUUUUUUUUUUUUUUUAGUUAUUUAUUUUGUAUAAAACGUUUCAUUAAUUAUAUAUUUUUAACCUAUCCUUAUGAACUUUCUGUUCUUUGUUCUUUUUAUUCCUAAUUACUAUGUUAUUGUUUUCUUCGAUUCUAAUUACUUCGAAUGGCCCUAGAUACGUUGGUUCUAGUUUGUGACCUGUUUCGUUUCUUAUUAAAACGUUAUCUCCUACUUUUAGUUUAAAAUCGCUAACUUUGUUAUCAUAACUGGUUUUCUGUUUUACUUUAUUACUUUCUAAUAAUAUGCGUGCUCUUUUAUACGCGUUUUCUAGUCUAAAUUUAACUUCUUUAGCGUAAUCAUCUAUGUUAUAUAUAGGGUCUAUAUUAUCUAUGUUACUAAAUUGUUUUGCUAAAUUACUAGUCUUACCAAAUACUAGUUCAUAUGGACAGUAAUUAUGCGUUACGGAUGGUGUAGUGUAAUGAUGAACUGCUUGUCACGAUAACUAGUCGUCAUAGUUUAUGCUAAGCUAUGCUAUGCUCUCGAUUCGUUAACAUUUACACUUGUGUAAUGAUGAACUCCAAUUAAGAACACAAGUCCGUUUUAAGUUUAAGGCAGCCGUCGGGCUGACAUAUAUUUAUUCAAUUUCUUCUUUUGAUUUUAGAGUAGGCAGAAAUGGUUCUGUCAGCUCAACGUCUACAGAGUCUCUCCGAUUUUUCAGUUUUUGAAUAUAUUUGGACUUAGGCUAAUCCGCGUAGCUGCGCUGCCGGGUACGCCAGCAGCGGAGCGGCGUUCUUAUGUAUAUCUUAUAUAUCUAGGCUUAUCGGGAGAGCGAGAUAUGUAUGUACGUAUGUAAUAUGUAUUUGGUCGGCGUGUGAAUGCUGACCAUGCACUUAUACUUUGUGGCCUUCGAGUGGGUGAUCAUGUUACAUCCGCCCUGGCCUAACUGCGUGCAUAAACAUAAACAUAAACAUAGCAACAAAGUGCUGCCAUAAGUUAAUAUGCUAUUUUAUUUAAUUGUUCUUAAUAUUGCAUAGGCACAUACUACAUCUCCCUCCUUUUGAAAAAUAACGUAACCUAGUGAAGUUAUUUUGAUUAUUAAAUGC
ensembl:ncRNA lncRNA:flam flamenco